CUGGACAAAGCAAGCGCGAGAGAAUUUGGGGACGAGGCUACGGGAGCUCCACCAGAAUGCUGGAAUACGGCGACAUCGAAUUGGAAGGAUUGCGGAGUCUUGUUCGCGGCUGGGUUGUAUAGUUCCAACAGUGUUACUUGUUUAAAGAACUCGUCGACUGCUACCAAGAACAGUUCUCAAGUUGUGUCACUUGAUGUCUUCUGGUCAGGAAGAGUUGCUGUUAUUUAUGUGAUGCUUUAGGUAUUUUCACUUGCACUUUAGCUGUAGGAUACGCAAAUUGCUAAAUUUCUUUUGACUAAUGGGGUUCAAAGCUAUGUCAAUCUGCUGGACACUAAUAUGGCAGUUGUGCAACCAUGAACAGAUGAGGAAGGAGGUUUAUGGUGACUUGUAGGUUUAUGUGUACACACAUGUGCACAUUUAUUGUACAUGAGUGACAUCAGUGAAACAAUUCGUGUAUUUGCAUUAUUGUAAAGAAUGCCUUACAUGACAUAGGGUGUUAAAAAGUAAUGUGAUAUAAAGAGAAUGCAGACUAGCAGAAGGGAGUUUUGAAUUUAGAGAACAAAGAAGACUAGUCAGACAACAUGCUUUGUUGUACAUUCGACUGGCUUUGGUAAAGAGUGAUAUUAAGAUAUUAAUGAUUUGAAAUAGACUGAAGGCAUUCACCAUUCAA